GUGGAUUAGAUACCCUGGUAGUCCUGGCCGUAAACGAUGAACACUAGGUGUCGGGGGAAUCGACCCCCUCGGUGUCGUAGCUAACGCGUUAAGUGUUCCGCCUGGGGAGUACGCACGCAAGUGUGAAACUCAAAGGAAUUGACGGGGGCCCGCACAAGCGGUGGAGUAUGUGGUUUAAUUCGAUGCAACGCGAAGAACCUUACCAGGGUUUGACAUCCUGCGAAUCCCUUGGAAACGAGGGAGUGCCUUCGGGAGCGCAGAGACAGGUGGUGCACGGUCGUCGUCAGCU
rnacentral:rRNA from 1 species